rnacentral:rRNA from 1 species
GCUACUUGUAUUGAAUUUAGCGAAAACUAAGUUUGUGCAGGAUUGACUUUGUCGAAUAAAGUUCUAGGUGGGUUAUGAUGAUGACAUUUCCUAUCUAUGUGUCUUGACCAAAUUACGUGCCAGCAGUCGCGGUAAUACGUAGAAGACUAGUGUUAUUCAUCUUUAAUAGGUUUAAAGGGUACCUAGACGGUAAAUCAAGUCCGAAAAGGAUACUAAUUUUCUAGAGUUUAAUGUGAGGGGGCACUAAAGUACUGAUAAGUGUAGAGAUGAAAUUCUGUGAUACAAUAUACGGCACUGGCAAAGGCGAAAGCAUCUCAUUAUGUAAUAACUGACGUUGAGGGACGAAGGCUAUGUGUAGCAAAAAGGAUUAGAUACCCAAGUAGUCUUAGCAGAAAAUUAUGAAUGUCAUAGGAUGGAAAAUUUAAAAAAACAAUUUUUUUUCUAUAAAUGAAAGUGUAAGCAUUUCACCUCGAGAGUAAUUUGGCAACAUUGGAACUGAAAUCAUUAGACCGUUUCUGAAACAAGUAGUGAAGUAUGUUGUUUAAUUUGAUGCUACGCAAAAAACCUUACCACAAUUUGAAUAGAAAUUUUAUUUUAUACAAGCGCUGCACGGUUGUCUUCAGUUAAUGUCGUGAGAUCUUGGUUAGUUCC